CCUACGGGUGGCAGCAGUGAGGAAUAUUGGUCAAUGGGCGGAAGCCUGAACCAGCCAAGUCGCGUGAGGGAAUAAGGCCCUACGGGUCGUAAACCUCUUUUGCCGGGGAGCAAGGGCCGGGACGAGUCCCGGUCCGGAGAGUACCCGGAGAAAAAGCAUCGGCUAACUCCGUGCCAGCAGACGCGGUAAUACGGAGGAUGCGAGCGUUAUCCGGAUUUAUUGGGUUAAAAGGGGGCGUAGGCGGGCUUUUAAGUCCGCCGUAAAAAUUCGGGGCUCAACCCCGUCCGGCCGUUGAAACUGGGGGCCUUGAGUGGGCGAGAAGAAGGCGGAAUGCGUGGUGUAGCGGUGAAAUGCAUAGAUAUCACGCAGAACCCCGAUUGCGAAGGCAGCCUUCCGGCGCCCUACUGACGCUGAGGCACGAAAGUGCGGGGAUCGAACAGGAUUAGAUACCCCUGUAGUC
rnacentral:rRNA from 1 species